CAACAUUUGCUUAAAACUAUCAACAUUAAAAUGUACCUUGUAUUACAUGCAUUAUGUUACAACAAUUGUUUUACGAAUCUAUGAAGUAAUACAGAAAGGUAAAUGUACUUUUAUAUAUACAAAAUUUACAAAUUAUGCGAUCGAAGACAUAUUGCGGGAAAAAAGCUUUUCUUAAAGCGCUCCGUCUUACAAGGAAACAGUGUUAGUCUAU